AACGAACGCUGGCGGCAUGCCUAACACAUGCAAGUCGAACGAGACCUUCGGGUCUAGUGGCGCACGGGUGCGUAACGCGUGGGAACCUGCCCUUAGGUUCGGAAUAACUCCCCGAAAGGGGUGCUAAUACCGGAUAAUGUCUUCGGACCAAAGAUUUAUCGCCUUUGGAUGGGCCCGCGUUGGAUUAGCUAGUUGGUAGGGUAAAAGCCUACCAAGGCUACGAUCCAUAGCUGGUCUGAGAGGAUGAUCAGCCACACUGGGACUGAGACACGGCCCAGACUCCUACGGGAGGCAGCAGUGGGGAAUAUUGGAAAAUGGGCGAAAGCCUGAUCAAGCAAUGCGGCGUGAGUGAUGAAGGCCUUAGGGUUGUAAAGCACUUUUACCCGGGAAGAUAAUGACAGUACCGGGAGAAUAAGCUCCGGCUAACUCCGUG
rnacentral:rRNA from 1 species